GGGGGUAUAGCUUAAGUGGUAGAGCACAUGCUUAGCAUGCACAGGAUCCUGGGUUCAGUCCCCAGCACCUCCU
rnacentral:tRNA from 1 species